rnacentral:rRNA from 1 species
UACGUAGGGGGCUAGCGUUGUCCGGAAUCAUUGGGCGUAAAGCGCGUGUAGGCGGUUCGGUAAGUCCGCUGUGAAAGUCCAGGGCUCAACCCUGGAAGGCCGGUGGAAACUGUCGGGCUAGAGUCCGGAAGAGGCGAGUGGAAUUCCCGGUGUAGCGGUGAAAUGCGCAGAUAUCGGGAGGAACACCAAUGGCGAAGGCAGCUCGCUGGGACGGUACUGACGCUGAGACGCGAAAGCGUGGGGAGCAAACAGG